rnacentral:rRNA from 1 species
AUUGAACGCUGGCGGCAUGCUUUACACAUGCAAGUCGAACGGCAGCGCGGGGGCAACCCUGGCGGCGAGUGGCGAACGGGUGAGUAAUAUAUCGGAACGUGCCCAGUCGUGGGGGAUAACGCAGCGAAAGUUGUGCUAAUACCGCAUACGAUCUAUGGAUGAAAGCGGGGGAUCGCAAGACCUCGCGCGAUUGGAGCGGCCGAUAUCAGAUUAGGUUGUUGGUGAGGUAAAAGCUCACCAAGCCUGCGAUCUGUAGCUGGUCUGAGAGGACGACCAGCCACACUGGAACUGAGACACGGUCCAGACUCCUACGGGAGGCAGCAGUGGGGAAUUUUGGACAAUGGACGCAAGUCUGAUCCAGCAAUGCCGCGUGCAGGACGAAGGCCUUCGGGUUGUAACUGCUUUUGUACAGAACGAAAAGUCUUUAAUAACACUAGAGGCUCAUGACGGUACUGUAAGAAUAAGCACCGGCUAACU